rnacentral:lncRNA from 1 species
UAGAUGACAGCAAGAUUUAUGAAGGUCGCUACAAAUGAGCAAAUCGAAGCAACAUAUACAAACACCACUUCAAAUCGCAAGAGGUUGCAGAGGGUUUUGUCUCCUUUUUUCUAUCGUUGAUAGAGAAAGCAGAAAUAUUCUGGAGCACAAUGGGCUUUCCCAGAAAGAAUAUAAUAUCGUUUCCAAAAGAGAUAUUUUUCCAUACGAGCAAAGACCAUUAAGCCCUCAGCUAGAGAAUUAGUAACACAGCAUUAAAGGCUAAAAUAGAAAGUGAAUAGUAAUCUGUGAGGUAAAACUCAUGAAUGAACAGUACUUGGUAUUCUCUCUUUUAUAAGAGAAGGGAGUUUUGCUUGAAUACUAGCGUCUAAUAAAGAAAAUCUUCAUUUUUUGUUUCACGGACUGUUCUUGGAUGCAAAAAUUCAUAUUUAG